AACGAACGCUGGCGGCAGGCCUAACACAUGCAAGUCGAACGCCGUAGCAAUACGGAGUGGCAGACGGGUGAGUAACGCGUGGGAACAUACCCCUCGGUUCGGAAUAACUCAGGGAAACUUGAGCUAAUACCGGAUACGUCCGAGGUUUUAAUCGACCUUGGAGAAAGAUUUAUCGCCGGAGGAUUGGCCCGCGUCUGAUUAGCUUGUUGGUGAGGUAAUGGCUCACCAAGGCGACGAUCAGAGCUGGUCUGAGAGGAUGAUCAGCCACAUUGGGACUGAGACACGGCCCAAACUCCUACGGGAGGCAGCAGUGGGGAAUAUUGGACAAUGGGCGAAAGCCUGAUCCAGCCAUGCCGCGUGAGUGAUGAAGGCCUUAGGGUUNUAAGCUCUUUUACCCGGGAAGAUAAUGACGGUACCGGGAGAAUAAGCCCCGG
rnacentral:rRNA from 1 species